rnacentral:rRNA from 1 species
AUACGGAGGGUGCAAGCGUUGUUCGGAAUUACUGGGCGUAAAGCGCGUGUAGGCGGCUAGGUAAGUCGGAUGUGAAAGCCCGGGGCUCAACCCCGGAACUGCAUCCGAAACUGCUUGGCUAGAGUCCCGGAGAGGAAGGCAGAAUUCCCAGUGUAGGGGUGAAAUCCGUAGAUAUUGGGAGGAAUACCAGUGGCGAAGGCGGCCUUCUGGACGGUGACUGACGCUCAGACGCGAAAGCGUGGGUAGCAAACAGGAUUAGAUACCCCGGUAGUCC